rnacentral:rRNA from 1 species
AACGAACGCUGGCGGCAGGCUUAACACAUGCAAGUCGAGCGCCCCGCAAGGGGAGCGGCAGACGGGUGAGUAACGCGUGGGAAUCUACCCAUCUCUACGGAAUAACGCAUGGAAACGUGUGCUAAUACCGUAUACGUCCUUCGGGAGAAAGAUUUAUCGGAGAUGGAUGAGCCCGCGUUGGAUUAGGUAGUUGGUGGGGUAAAGGCCUACCAAGGCGACGAUCCAUAGCUGGUCUGAGAGGAUGAUCAGCCACGCUGGGAGUGAGACACGGCCCAGACGCCUACGGGGGGCAGCAGUGGGGAAUAUUGGACAAUGGGCGCAAGCCUGAUCCAGCCAUGCCGCGUGAGUGAUGAAGGCCCUAGGGUUGUAAAGCUCUUUCACCGGUGAAGAUAAUGACGGGAACCGGAGAAGAAGCCCCGGCUAACUUCGUGCCAGCAGCCGCCGUAAAAC